GAUACAGCUCAGUGGUAAAGUACCCUUUGGUUUAAUCCCCAACACCAAAAACCAAUGCCAAUGAAACAAUACCCAUAAUGAGGUAUAACAACACAAUUAAAAUGUCUAAAGUAAAAUGUAGUCCCCAAAUUAGAUGGUAGCAAUGUAUAGAGAAAGUGGAUUGUUUAGACACUGCUGGUGGGAAUAUAAACUGUACCACCAUUCUGGAGAUGUUUGAUAGUUUAAAAAUAAAAUCCAAACAUGCGACUUCCAUAAAAAUGUAGCUUUUGUAGUGGGGAUGAAAUAGAAAUGAAAACUUACUUUCAUAUGAAAACAUGAAUGUUAACAGCACUUUUUUUCAUAGUGGUUAUGAAGUGGAAACAAUGUAUAUAUCCAUUGAUUGAUGAAACAAACUGUUAAAUCCACAACACAAAAUAUUACUCAGCAAUGAGAAAGAAUGAAUUAAUUGUUGACACACACAAUGACUGGGAUGAAUUUCUUGGGAAAUGCGGAGAUUAAAAAAAAAAAAAAAAAAAGCCCAAACCUGGGUCUGGGGAUAUAGCUUGGGGUAGAGUGUGUAUUUAGUAUUAGUAAGGUCCUGGGUUCAAUCCUAGUGUAUUGUAUGUGUGGGCAUGCCAGAAAAAAGUCAACCCUAAAAAAUAGAGAACAUAUUUGUGGUUGCCAGGGGUUUAGUAUGUUCAGUCAGGGUGAGGUGAAGAGAAAGGAGGGAAUCUCAUAUAGUUUUAAAAAAGGUAACAGGAAGGAUCCUUGUGGUGACGGAUGUUUUGCAUCUUGACUGUAUUGUUGAUAUCCUGAUUGCAACAGGGUAGUACAUUUUAUAAGAUGUUGUCCUGGAAGGAAACUGGGUAAAAAUAACAUAAAUAAUCUCUCUGUAUUAUUUUAUACAACUACAUGUAAGUCUACAGUUAUCUUAAAAUAAAGUUUGAUGAAAAAAAUACAACAGAUAUUUUAUAAUACUAAUCAAUCUACUCCCCCCACCUCCUAUCACCCCACUGGUCAAUUGAAGCUCCUAAACUUAAAUUAAGGAAAAAACACUGAUUAACAAUAGUGUUUCUGUCCAAGAAUCAGUAAUAGGUAUGCAAGCUUAAUUUUAAACUUUAUGCAAAAUUUUCAAUGUUAUAUGUGCAAACAUAAAAUUCUUAUUUAUGCAACAUGUGGUAGGCCCAGUUUAUCUAACCUGUAGAGCAUAUAAAUAUGUAAAGAUUAUAAUUAGGUACAUGUUCUACACUAGAUUGCAGUUUAUCUAUAUAAAUGUCUUAAUAACAAGUAUAUUUUUAUACAGCUUGUUCAGUUUCUAAAAAUAUGAUAAAGUAAUAUUAUUUUAACAAUUUAGAAAGCACUAGUUAACUUUAUGUAUUUAAAACCUAACAGUUUACAGAUAAACAUACCAAUAUUAGAACUAUGUUUUGCCUAAAUCAGAGUUUAUUAAAUCAUUCUUCCCAGCUCAAGUUCAUCACACUAAAUUAGACUACAGGAGAAAUGAUUUGUAAAGAAAUCCAGUUCAUUACCUUAAAUCACAUAAAAUAACAAAAUUAUGGCCCUAAGGAAAGAGAAAAUAAGGCAACCUUCUUAAAGUAAAUUUAAAAAAUAUUUUUUGAUUGAUACAAU
rnacentral:lncRNA from 1 species